CCGUGCCAUGCCCUAAUACCGUGUGCCUCCUAAUACCGUGUAUUUGACAAAAAACUCAAAUAUUUUACUAAGUGUAUUAUUUUUUUAACUAAGUAACUAAUUCAAUCAUUAGCAUAUUAAACCUUCUUAAGUUAGGCGUAAUAAAUUUAGCACAUAUUUACAAAAACAAGCAAUUAAAAAUAUUCACAAAAUGUGAGUGCGAAGUACCAAUACACGGUAUUAGGGCAUGGUUCCUUUUGUGUUCCAAAUACCGUGUUUCGACUAAAACUGCAAGCUGAAAAUAUUAUUGAUACUUUUUUACUUUAUGAAUCAAUUGUACAAACCUCUAGGCAACGUUUAACGCACAGAUUCUUUUAAGUAUGAACUUAGUAUGAUUGAUAUAGUGAUGAUUCAAAGGACCACCAAUGUACGCGGGUCACAUACACGGUAUUAGGCACAAUGCUAUUGUUGCCGCUGGCCACAUUGCUACACGCCGUCAGAUUUCUUGUGCUGUGUCAGUUAAUCUGUAAAAACGAUAUAACCGCGGGACUACAGAUUUUGACAUACAUAUGAAGAGGCAGAAGAAGAGAAAACUAACGCGACCAUGAGAUAGCAAAUCAUGGACAGAAAGUGCUCGUAUUAUAACUAAUUUGUUAAAGCCUAAUAAUUUGAUAAAAUAUUCCUAAUCAGUUGAAAUAACCCAUUGGCAUGCAGUGAGUAACAAAUCUGCAGAAUAUCUAUAGUUUCAAUGCUAACUCAUGAAUUGUUUACAGUUAUCUAAUUGAAUAAAAGAUCGUGUACAGAACAUGAUCUGUGAAGUACUGAACAGAAAGUUAGAAUCCUACAAAAGUGAGGUUAAAACAUACAUAUCUUAAAUACUAGCGAAAUCAUCAUUUAAUCAUUAUUUACAGUUAAAUUAGAUUAGCCUAAUCAUUUGUUGCGUCGGGAACACGAGAAUGAAAUUUUCCUAAGCAAAACACCGAACGUGUAAGUUAUUAUUAAGUGUAUAUUAAAAUAUCCUAAUUGAUGAAUAUAUUUACAUGUUUGCAGUUUAAAGCUGCAUAACACCAAUACAACAUUUGUGUGUAUGAUAUGUGCUGCUGACAACCCGGUGCCGACAGGCGUUCUCAACUUGUUCUCCGCCAACAAACUUUAAAACGUUCGUGGCGAAUAUGGGUGCUGAUACAAACACCAUACAAACAUCGUACAAUGUUAGAACGGGAGACGGCGAAAACUACACGCGCCCCGAAAAACACGAUGACCAGUACCAUUUGAAAACGGGAGACUGCGAUGAUUACACGCGCCCCGAGGAAUACGAUGACCACAUACAUUAUAAUCCGUGUAUGAUGGUCCACAAUACUGAUGUAGAGCGGCAGUGGAUUGGCAAUAAUUUGCCGAAGAAUCCGGCUUUGAAGCCAAGCCGUAAGCCCGCUCGCCUCACACUACGUCUGCAACAAGCAGAAGAAGAGCGCGCGAUACAACGGCGCGAAAUAGAGGCAGAAAGACGAGCUAUUGCUGCAGAGCGUAGAGCGCUGGAAGAAGAAUACAAAUUGCUGGAACAACUACUGUCUACGAAGAGCGAAAACAACCACUACCGUGUAUGCCGGCGCUCAAGACAGGAACGCUCACAUAUAAGGUUCGAAAACACUCCGAAGGAUGACACUGAUAAAGGCACCUUCAGGAGUACAUCGGUUCGAAAUCGAGAUCCGUACCAACGAUUCAACCAAAACAUGUCAGAGGAAAACGAGCAAAAUGAUGGCUCUCAGACGAAGCAAAAAAUCAACGAUCAACCAAUUAUGCCGGAACUCAUUCUCGCCAGGGUAGAAUUUUCGUCUGAUCAGUUGCAGUCUAGUGGAACUCAGCAUGAGAAAACAAGCGAGAUUUCCAAAGCAAGGCCAAACUUGUGUGUAGACACGGAAGAUCUGAUGAAGGGUAUCAACGGUAACUCUAUCUCCUACGAAUACCCCAUGCUGUCCACAACAACACCCGUGUCUAUGAUCGACGCCUCCGCCGAGAGACAAGUAUAUAACUAUGCGAUUGGAUUCGGUAGGUCACACGAAAUAUACUGUUUAAUUUUCUCUCAUUCUCCAUCGGGUGAGAAUGGACCACGGUACGCUCCAAGGGCACCCAUGAGAACUGGAUUUGAUAAUGUGAUUCGACAAUAUUUUUGUUUUGUUGCAACUACUACAAGCGCGCCGGAAAGACCUACUAGCUGGCUCAUACUGAUAUGUGCUUUCGUCAGCUCAACAGCUGCAUCUUGCUAUUCAGUUAUGGAACUCCGUCCGAAACUGCAACGCUCUCGGUUGUUUUCCAUUGACAGCGUACCAUACAGGCAACUAUACAUGAAUAUGAAUGGCACUAACCCCCGUGGAAGAUUGUUGCCAUUGAGUUAUGAAUCGCUUAUUAUACCCCUGCAGUUCUGCCUGAUAGAAAUGUUGAUGUGUUUGUUGUUGUUUCAAACAGACUCUAGGGAACAAACACAGUUCGGACAAACGAAGAAAUCGGAUAAUACCCUGCGCAUGUUACGUGAUUGCAAACGUAAUGAUAAAUCUGCCGUGGAGGUGAUAGUAAUCGACGGUAAAGGCUACUCCCUGCGUAUAGACAAAUUCAUGACGACGAAACAUUUGCGUCAUGUUGGAAAAGCGACGAUGAGGAAACGUAAGGCAGCAACCAAUGUAUGCUCGAAUGGCACCUACGGUGAGAAGGGAAUCAAUUGUGGGAAAAUGAGGCAAGCAAGUUCCGAAACUGAGAAACUAAUCAAGGCGAAGACCACCAGAAGUGCUAGCAAGAAGGUUAUGAAAUCACCGACGAUAUCUCCGAUGCUUUGCAAAGUUGACGAUACGCCGCAGUGCUCCGAAAUGACGACCGCCGAAGUACACGAGAUGGGAUCGCUGGUCAUCCGCACUUUCAAGUAUGAACAUUUGUCAAUGUCUCUAUCCUCCGAGAGUAAAACCAAGCCGCUCAAGUAUUUCGAUGCUCCAUCUACCCCUCGCGGAUUCAGCCCAUUCCGGGUGAAGAAAAUUAUCGCAAUUGGCAGUACGAUCGUGAGCGUUAGCGAAGGACAGGGCAAUGCGUCCGAGAACUUCUUGGUGGACUCUGACUCGCUACAGUUAUCUACCUUGGGUAUUCAUCUUCCUUGUGCCAUCGCUGGUUGGUGUUUAAUGCGGCCCAUCACGCACUUUCAGUUUUCAUACCAGAAGUUCACCGUAUUGAAACUGAACUUGGCAGUCGAUUCGGAAAUCCAUAAUGACAGUCUUCUAAUGCCUGCGCCGGGUAUAUUACGAAAACUGAAGACGCUGGAGUGCCUAUCCGAUGUGCUCGACGUACAGGAAAUCAUCGACAGCCCGAAACGUACCCGGAAGAAAUUAACCGAAAUUUUUAAAAUGUUGGUCUGCCCUAUAACCCUGUCUAAGAAACGUCCGUCGCGAGUAUGUCCCAGUUCUAGCAUAUCGAUGACAGAGUAUCUUGGCGAGGAGAAUACGGUAGCUGACAAAAGUUCGACAAAGAAAGGCAGGGAAAGGAAACUUUUGUGGAAGGAUAAGCUAGGCGUUGCCGAUCAAUUAUUCCAAGAUGUUUACAAAGCAGGUGGGGAUUUGUGGCGUGUACUCAUUGUGUCGCUUAUGGUUCUAGACAUUUGUAAGAUGGUAAAACUGGAACCAAGUGGCUAGUGUUACGGGGGGGAGUAUGUUGCCGCUGGCCACACUGCUACACGCCGUCAGAUUUCUUGUGCUGUGUCAGUUAAUCUGUAAAAACGAUAUAACCGCGGGACUACAGAUUUUGACAUACAUAUGAAGAGGCAGAAGAAGAGAAAACUAACGCGACCAUGAGAUAGCAAAUCAUGGACAGAAAGUGCUCGUAUUAUAACUAAUUUGUUAAAGCCUAAUAAUUUGAUAAAAUAUUCCUAAUCAGUUGAAAUAACCCAUUGGCAUGCAGUGAGUAACAAAUCUGCAGAAUAUCUAUAGUUUCAAUGCUAACUCAUGAAUUGUUUACAGUUAUCUAAUUGAAUAAAAGAUCGUGUACAGAACAUGAUCUGUGAAGUACUGAACAGAAAGUUAGAAUCCUACAAAAGUGAGGUUAAAACAUUCAUAUCUUAAAUACUAGCGAAAUCAUCAUUUAAUCAUUAUUUACAGUUAAAUUAGAUUAGCCUAAUCAUUUGUUGCGUCGGGAACACGAGAAUGAAAUUUUCCUAAGCAAAACACCGAACGUGUAAGUUAUUAUUAAGUGUAUAUUAAAAUAUCCUAAUUGAUGAAUAUAUUUACAUGUUUGCAGUUUAAAGCUGCAUAACACCAAUACAACAUUUGUGUGUAUGAUAUGUGCUGCUGACAACCCGGUGCCGACAGGCGUUCUCAACUUGUUCUCCGCCAACAGCUAUGUUUUACCAUUUGGUUUUUAACAAUGGUUUAAACAUUUGGAAUAUUAUUAAUUAUAUUUAUUAUACAUAAUAUACAGAAUAACCAAUAAUAUAGCGGUUGAAAAAUCAAGAAACACGAAUAAUUGAUUUUUACAGGGUUCUUUGAAGUGAAGAGCAUUCUUAAGGUCACGGUAUUAGGGCAUGGCACGGUAGUCUAUCGGCCAACUGGCGAGUGCAUAACAACUGCAGCGGUGCACUCCGUUGAUCUUCGCGAUUGCGGAUUUGCCAAGGGAUUUCCUGGAUGGGGAAACAAUCGGUCGUACAGAUUGCCGCUAGCUUGGUCACCCAGUUCCCGUUAUCGGGAGGGAUGCAGUAUGGGUGAGCCCAUAUAGCCGAGGCGGUAAACGCACGGGUAUUCAGCAUGACCAUGCUGAGGGUGACGGGUUCGAUUCCCGGUCGGUCCAGGAUCUUUUCGUAAAGGAAAUUUCCUUGACUUCCUUGGGCAUAGAGCGAGGCAUAGAGUAUCUUCGUGCCUGCCACACGAUAUUCUUAUCUUAUCCGCCGUGCAAAUCAGGCCUUUUUUGUACCGAGUUGCACUCUCUGGCGAUGUGGCCUUCCACUUCGCACUUUCUGUAGAGCUCACUCUUGUUGGGGUCUUUACACGCCCACGAGGCAUUUGUACCACGGCAAUAGCAAACUCUUAUCUUGCUGACUGCACUCACUUUGUUCACCUCCCCUACUGGGAGGUUGAUCGUGGCGAUCUGCGUGCCUCCCAAGCAGCACACUUUAUCGCAUUUAUGUGACUGUCACUGCUAUGAAACAUAUCGUAAAUUACAUUGAAGGCCUCUGUAACGUAAAUUUCUACACCUCUGUAACCCAAACAGCGCAGGAGGUGGAGCCUAAAUGUAACUUCUUUAUUGUUACAGAAGAUGUAUUUUUGUAAUCGAUAUGAAACUUGAUUUGUCGCAUUUAAGUCAAACGGUCACACAGAUAAAAUUUUUGAAAGGUGCUCUUCAGCAACAUAGAACGGGUAAAGUUUAUGUUUCAAUCUAACCAAUUUCUGCAACAUAUGUGAUAUAUUUCCACAGACAGUUUGUUACAGAAAUAAAUUUAGAAUGCCGCACACGAACUUUUCCACAUGGACUCAUUAAAAAUAUUAUAUCACUUAUUUCUUUGGCAAAAUUAUGUCGAUUUAUCGUUUUAAGAGCAAAUUUAACAUGCGGCUCCAAAUUUAUGGUGAAAUACGGUGUUGUACUUAUAAAUAAUUCACGCGCUUCAAGAAUUAUGAGCAUUUUAGGAAAAAUUGCAAAUAAUGAACCAAUGAAAAAAAACAUGUGCAUCCAUUUACAAUUACAUGUUUUUUAAAAAUGUGCUCCAAAUAAAGUUCAAACCAAUUUUUAUCUUAUUAUAUUGAAACUUAAUUGCUUGGCGGUUAUUUUGGCAUAAUUUUACUGUGUGUAAAGUUCAGUGAUAAUUCAAUUUUCGCCAUUUAUCGCCAUUUUUUCGGGCUUACACUGCCGUCUGAAAAAAUGUAUAUUAGAAGGAAACAAACAUGUUUAAAAAAUAAAAAAUACAAGAAUCACCCUCUCUUUUCCUUGGCGUCAUGUCCUGACUGGGACAAAGCCUGCUUCUCAGCUUAGUGUUCUAUGAGCACUUCCACAGUUAUUGCCCGUAGUGUGGCCAGCAAAAAAUACACCCGUAGAAUGCCGGCACGAAACUACAAAAUUAAAAUGAUGCGGUCCACUAAUUUUCCAUAGAUUUUAUUAUUAUUAUUAUUAGCUUUAUUAGGGAGAUUUUCAGCCCGAGGCUGGUUCAUCUCCGCCAUAGAUUUUAGAAAUUUUGAUCUUGUUCAACUCAGACAAACAUUAUUUGUCGACAAACCGGUCGGUUGGACCGGUCCGAUCACCGUAGGUACCGGAUACCGUUAUAACAACUUCACUUUGAAUAUCUUUUGUUUGGGCCUAAUAGCCAAGGCGAUGAUCGACCAUUUCGGCAGGGGGAGCUAUUUUGGGCACAUUCCGCUAUAACUCAAUCAAUUUCACACUAAUUAACUUGAAUUUGUGUACAUAGCUAGAUACUGUACGUAUCUCACCGUGUCCAAAAAACCACGUUAAUUGGGUAAAAAUCGAAUAAACUAUAUUAGGAAGUGUCCAAAAUGGGUCUCCAUGCCCAAAUGGGCGCGACCAGUAUAUGGUAUUAGAAUAACCCGUAUAAAAGCUGAACAACGGAUAGUGAAAAGAGUGACAUAGGUAUGUCAGUUUGUCAGCGAAAAAAAAAACUAUUCAGUGUAUACUAGAUCAUACAUACUCAAGAAAAAAUUCGUUUAACUCAAGAUUUUACGUAAAAAAAACAAACUCAUUUAACAUAUGCAUACAAAAACUUUUGAUCGGCAGUUCAGUCUAUUUUUUACAUCAUCAUAACGCCGGCGUAUAGUACCGUACAGUUGUGUGAGAUAUAAGAUGUACUGAAUAAAGCUGUGAUAAAGAGAAUGAUCACAGCAGGCGAUAUAGCGCAUUUGAAUGUGAUGCGAACUGUCAAGCAGACAAUGUUAGCAUCCCCGCUUGCGCAGCAACAACUUCAGGCGUCACCCAACCGCGUUCACUCUUGCCACUUGCGAACCAACGUCAGCCUGGGUAAGUUGUGUAUGCUGCACGUGAGGGGUGAUUCCUUCCCAGAGAAAUCCCAAACUCCACAUUGGCGAAUUCCUGCCAGUUUUUCGUUCAAUUACGAAAAAAAAUCGAGCCAAUUUAUUGUUUUUCUGGGAGGAAUCACUCUUCAAUUUGCAUGCGAAAGUGAGCAAAUUACGACAACACAAAAAAGUGAAAAAUGUGGUGUGAUAUUCAUCGUGGGCUCCGGAUGGUGUAUGCUUCCGGAUGAUUUUUGUGCUUGGACAAUUAUCGAGGAAGAAAUAAAACACGAGGAAAAUAAACCAGCGGCAGUAACUGGUAAGGAAAAGCUAUAGUGAUUCUGUUAUUUUGUGCUUACAGCGUGUUGUUUGCCGUGGGGGAAAACCUCCGGCAAUGUCCGCUGCCGAAAAGCAAGGUUAGAAAGAUCCUGUUGUUUUGCAUCGUGCAAAUGUCGGAUCGAAUGCUUACAGCGUGUUGUUUGCCGUGGGGGAAACCUCCGGCAAUGUCCGCUGCCGAAAAGCAAGGUUAGAAAGAUCCUGUUGUUUUGCAUCGUGCAAAUGUCGGAUCGAAUGCUUACAGCGUGUUGUUUGCCGUGGGGGAAAACCUCCGGCAAUGUCCGCUGCCGAAAAGCAAGGUUAGAAAGAUCCUGUUGUUUUGCAUCGUGCAAAUGUCGGAUCGAAUGCUUACAGCGUGUUGUUUGCCGUGGGGGAAACCUCCGGCAAUGUCCGCUGCCGAAAAGCAAGGUUAGAAAGAUCCUGUUGUUUUGCAUCGGGCAAAUGUCGGAUCGGAAGCUUACAGCAUGUUGUUUGUCGUGGAGGAAGAAUCCCGACAAUGUCCGCUGACGAAAAGCUAGGUUAGAAAGAUCCCGUUGUUUUGCUUCGCGCAAAUGUCGGAUCGGAAGCUUACAGCAUGUUGCUUGCCGUGGAGGGACAGUCCCGGCAAUGUUCGCUGACGAAAAGCUUGGUUAGCAAGAUCGAGUUGUUUUGCAUCGUACAAAUGUCGGAUCUGAAGCUAACAUCGUGUUGUUUGUCGUGGUCGAUAAAUCUUAGCAAUGUACGCAAAAAAAAAUAUAUUAGAAAAAUCCCGUAGUUUUGAUUCGUGCCAAUGUGGGAUCGAAUGGUUAUCAAAAGGUGCCGUCAAUGUCGGCUAGCCAAAAGAAGGAUUAUGUAGAUGCAGUUUGUUUUCUGUGGCUAGUGUUUCAAUGAAUGACAAUGCUUCAUUCUCUUUAUCUAUAGAUAGAUCUCUAGAUUAUAUAUAAUGUAUUUUAUCAGAUAUCUCGAAUUUAAACGACGGAGCAAUGGGAUAAAUUCGGGUAUAAGAUUGAAUAAAGACUCAAAGAGCAAGAUUUUUUUUUCAGAACCACCCAGUACCAAAGCGGUAAUUUUCUUAAAUAUUACAAGUAUAGAGCCUUGCAUUACAAACAAAACUUCAACAAAAUCACAUAUGAUUUUUAAGCAUUGCCCUCAAAACUAUUUUGAGAGCAAGGACGGCUGUAUCAAGCGACCCCGAACGAGAGGAAAAGAGAGAGAGAGAGAUAAUGAUGACGUCACUGUGCAAGCUACCAUUGCUCGUCAGAAAACAUCAUUCCUACAGUUAAGUACUAAAAUGUUCGAUCUUUUUGGAAAACAAAGUAACAGCAGCAUAGUCAGAAUGGUACCUCACAAUGAAAACUGUAUUUGGCAGCCAUGGCAGCAGCUGCAACGUAUAUGACGAUGUAAUAUAACAGUUAAUUAUGUUGAAUGGUUGUAAGUAAAUACUCCAAAUUGAGAUACGGAAAUUCAAUUUUAGGUUAAAAAUGUGCAAAACUUCUUCAGAGUAGAAGAAGGAUGUGAGAUAUAAGAUGUACUGAAUAAAGCUGUGAUAAAGAGAAUGAUCACAGCAGGCGAUAUAGCGCAUUUGAAUGUGAUGCGAACUGUCAAGCAGACAAUGUUAGCAUCCCCGCUUGCGCAGCAACAACUUCAGGCGUCACCCAACCGCGUUCACUCUUGCCACUUGCGAACCAACGUCAGCCUGGGUAAGUUGUGUAUGCUGCACGUGAGGGGUGAUUCCUUCCCAGAGAAAUCCCAAACUCCACAAGUUGCAUUGUGACUGUUUCGAGACCAAUAUGUUACUUCUAACAUGUGAACUUGUCACUUGUAUCGAAUCAUGUUAUGUUUCAUUGAAACAUAAAAAAAAGUUAAGUCACAAGUUCAUAACCCACAAUGUUACACUAUGUCCACAAUUCAACUAAUGUUGUCACUAAACAACUGAUUUGGCUCCUGAAUUUUGUCACACCGUAACAACACAUUUUGACAGCUGCCAACAUUUUGAUUUGUUUUUAUCAUAAAGCAGACACGAGUGCGUCUUGUUGGGCUGCGCAAAGUUCGUCAAUUUUAAUUCUGUCUCCGAGGACAUUCUUAAUCAUUGUUGCGCUCUUCGGUGAUUAUUAUAAUAUUCGCGAUGUCCUUUUGUAUCGUACAAACGCGUAAAACUAAAAAGUCAUUGCCGUCUAUGACCGUGGUUCCGGCUAACUGGGUAGAAGAUAAAUUUGUCUUUUGGCCUCCAAGCAAUCUGGUCAGUCUUUCCAAAAAUGAAAACUCAAUGCCAGAAAAAUUGACUUGGAAAAAGCAGAAAUGCAAGCUAGCAGGACGAGCACAAACAUUCCAGCUUGCGGAAGAAAUGAUGGCUCUGUUGGAGAAGGUAACGGACUCCGAAGACGCCGUUGAGAUGGGCCAUGGUACAAGAACGACUCCAGCGAGAAAACAACCCAAAUUCAAAUCGAAAAGCUAUAAACUUGCACCACCAGCUGCCGCAGUUGCUGACGAUGGAGCACCAUCUUCCAAAAUCGCAAAGGUAACUCCCUCGGAAGAUAUCUCUCAUCAAUCAACGCCAAACACAGGUCCCGAAAUGCUGGUGGUAAACGUGAAUUCCGCAAC